GAGUUUGAUCGUGGCUCAGAUUGAACGCUGGCGGCAUGCCUAACACAUGCAAGUCGAACGGCAGCACUGGGAGCUUGCUCCCUGGUGGCGAGUGGCGGACGGGUGAGUAACGCGUAGGAAUCUGCCUCAUAGCGGGGGACGAACUCGGGAACGUACGAGCUAAUAACCGCAUACUACUCGAGAGAGGAAAGACAGGGGACCGUUCGGGCCGUUGUCACUAU
rnacentral:rRNA from 1 species